ACCACUUCAUCUUACCUAGGCAUCUACGUGGUGUCCUCGCCCUAAGUUGGACCAAAUUGUCACACCCGGUUUUUGAAGGCAAACCGAAUGCGAACCAUGUACGUGCCAGGAUCAGAAAUUCACGUACACAACGUUUACAUAACUGGACAUCAUCACACAAUGCUCAAAUAAUAACGUAAAAAGAUAUUAAUUUGAUUACAUCAUGAUGUUCUAGACAUCCACAUAGUCUUAUACAUAGACCAAAGUGCGAAUACAAAACUUAGUAAGAUACGACCUUCACAGGCAACUGACUGGGGGUUUGCCACUAACCCACACCUAGAACUCAUCAUAGUCUUGAAACUCCUGGAAAUCCUCUGUUAUGCCUUCAUCUUCUCCUGAGCAGGGGUUGCAAUGCGGACAACCUGGUGUAUUGGUGUUUUAAGCAAGGGUGAGUACACAUCAACGUACUCAGCAAAUAUCUCGUUUGGCUAAAGUGGACUAGUUGUAUGUGGGGUGAAGCUCAGAGCAAUUGCUUUUAGUUGGGCAGAUAUUUAUUACUAGUAGAGAGCCAAGUUUUAGCAAUAACCCCUAGUUAUUUACCCAAAAGCACUCCCACCAAGAGAAAAUACCAUAAUCUAUAGUUAUAAUCAUCAUCAUUAAGACCAUCCUCCUCAUCAUCAUUCAUAGCCAUAGUAUAUCUUAUCAAUCUAAUCAAAGGAGCUCCCAAGGCCGCUCAUAACAGUGAGCACGACUGAUAUAUCAGUUUCUAACCCUCUAUAGAGGUUGCACACUUUACCCACGAGUCGUGAUUCCUUCUCUAGCCCGGGUUUGCAAGACCCUUGUUCACUCCUAAGGUUAGCGGCUAGGGAUUCACUACGAAGACUUUACAAAGAUUUCGUAAAAUGUAGCCACCCGAUAGGUUUCCUAAAUGCACCGUAUUCCUCCCUAAGGGGCAAACCACCCUCGUGGCAGAGCGAGUCACGUACACCGAGCCCCAUUGAUGGCACGAUGGUGAAGCAAACUACACCUCAGUUCCUCUAAAUAAUUAGCUAAGGGUGUCCCAUUCCAUCCUCAUAGCUGUACUGUUAUCCCAGGUGGUCAUCCAACGAACAAAUCCUUACGGAGAGGUACUGGAGAAACAGCUCGAGCCCCCUUAAAUAUCACAAUUCCAUAAUCAUAUCCAUAUCACAAUGCCAUAAUCAUAUCCAGAAGUAAAAAUUAUAUCAUAAAUAAUCUCAUCAUGUUCAUUGAUUAGAGUAGAGCGCUAGCAUAAAGCUAAUUCAGAAAUAAUCCAACCCAAAUAGGUAAUCAAGGACAGGAUAAAUAAAAAAAACUAGUAAAUCCUUAGGUAAUAAUUGUGUAUAUGCGGGGAGAUGAAUUAUAAAAUGAGUAGGACAUUCACAUCUUGAAUCAUAAAAGGAAACAAUACAAUAUACAAGAAAACAGAUACAUUUAUAUACACACGAUAUAGAGCUCGCAUUUAAAACCGUGCGAGAAAUGAACAGGGAUAGCCAAUACUACAAUCGUCAGCUUCUCGCGUUUACACAAGCGAAUAUGAACUGAAAUAUUUAAUCCCACGUAAUUAUAUUGAUGGAUAUUUAUUAAAGGUGCAAAUAAAAUUAUUACCUGAUCUCGAUCAAUUCGAUAUUCGAAUAGUCGUUGUUUUAAAUGCGUAGUUAAUUAACACGAGCGAUUCUAGAUGAAGAGGUUUACUGACAUGCAACGAAACGCGCAACGCACGAGGGCGAUGUACGCACUGCUCGUGCGACGACGCAGAUGGACAACACGCUCGACGCGUGUCAACGACACACGAACAAGCGAAAGACGCGAUGGCGAGGCUAUGCACAUGGAGGGGUAGAUAGGGUUGUCUAGGGGGUAGACUAAGGGUAGACGGACAUCGUCGACAUCGCAACGACGAGCGAACCGCAUGCAUGACUCGCAAAAACUACUAACUUGAUGACACAUUUAUAUUGAACCAAUAUAAAACCAACAAGUAUUCGAGACGGUAUAGUCAUACACGCACAUACUCAAAAGCCUAAAUUCAAAUUAUAAAUUAGCCUCUUCGAGAUCACUAUCUUAAUUAUUAUUGGAUCAACAACUAAUCAAUUUAUUAACGAAAGUAUGCAUUGCGAUAAGCUAAUAUUAUUAAUAUACGAAUGGUAUUAUCAUGAACCUAUCAUGACAUGAGCAGAUCGAAACAGAUUAAUGACGCGAAAAGAAGUAUACAAUUAACAGACCAGGACCUAUUCGUAAAUAACCAUAGACUCCGGGGGCUAACAAAUGAGAUCGCCAAGACUCAGAAACAACCUAAAUUAUUUACACGGUUCAUCGGGUUCCUUUCGCAAAGACUAAAACAAAAAGAAACAGACUCCUUCCUCUCCUAGGGGAGCUGGCGUGUCUCAGCCGCGCGGGCAUAUCACGCCAGGUACAGGCUGGCCGCGUGCCAGAGCCGUGAGUAGUCGUGGACAUCCAGCCGCGAGCCAAGGCCAUGCCGCGGCCGCUGCGUGCACCUGUGCCGGCCGAGGCUGGUCGCUCUUGGCCGCCAUGACAGGGCUGGCCGCGCAGGGGCUGGGCCGCCGGGGUACGCUGCACCUAGCCACUUGCCGCGAGCCAUUGGCCAUGCGCCGCUGGCCAGGGCACAACGGGCAGGGCGCGGAACCACGUCGGGGCGCGCCGCACGUGGCAGCCGCGCAAGCGGACCGGUCCGGUCGAGGGAAAGAGAGAGCAGGGGAGGGAGGAGGAGAAAAAAUUGGGAUGCUCACCUCUACGAUCGCGGUGAGGACAUGGUGUGGACGCAGCGAGGCCGACGAGCUCCGACGGGCGACAGUUUUCGAGGCUCGGGCACGGUGCGACUUGUGGGAGGGAACAUGGCGCUUGGAGACUCGAAUGGGGCUGG
rnacentral:lncRNA from 1 species